UACGAAGGGGGCUAGCGUUGUUCGGAAUUACUGGGCGUAAAGGGCGCGUAGGCUGUGCUGUAAGUCAGGCGUGAAAGCCCCGGGCUCAACCUGGGAAUUGCGCUUGAUACUGCGGCGCUGGAAGGUGGGAGAGGAUGGCGGAAUUCCCAGUGUAGAGGUGAAAUUCGUAGAUAUUGGGAAGAACACCGGUGGCGAAGGCGGCUCACUGGACCGAGACUGACGCUGAGGCGCGAAAGCGUGGGGAGCAAACAGG
rnacentral:rRNA from 1 species